rnacentral:rRNA from 1 species
CCUACGGGGUGCAGCAGUGGGGAAUAUUGGACAAUGGGCGAAAGCCUGAUCCAGCCAUGCCGCGUGUGUGAAGAAGGCCUUCGGGUUGUAAAGCACUUUCAGUGGGGAAGAAAGCCUUGGGGCUAAUACCCUCGAGGAAGGACAUCACCCACAGAAGAAGCACCGGCUAACUCCGUGCCAGCAGCCGCGGUAAUACGGAGGGUGCGAGCGUUAAUCGGAAUUACUGGGUGUAAAGCGCGCGUAGGCGGUCUGAUAAGCCGGUUGUGAAAGCCCCGGGCUCAACCUGGGAACGGCAUCCGGAACUGUCAGGCUAGAGUGCAGGAGAGGAAGGUAGAAUUCCCGGUGUAGCGGUGAAAUGCGUAGAGAUCGGGAGGAAUACCAGUGGCGAAGGCGGCCUUCUGGACUGACACUGACGCUGAGGUGCGAAAGCGUGAGUAGCAAACAGGAUUAGAUACCCGAGUAGUC